rnacentral:rRNA from 1 species
CCUACGGGAGGCAGCAGUGAGGAAUAUUGGUCAAUGGGCGGGAGCCUGAACCAGCCAAGCCGCGUGAGGGAAGAAGGUACAGCGUAUCGUAAACCUCUUUUGUCAGGGAACAAAGGCGGGGACUAGUCCCCGGAUGAGGGUACCUGAAGAAAAAGCAUCGGCUAACUCCGUGCCAGCAGCCGCGGUAAUACGGAGGAUGCGAUCGUUAUCCGGAUUGAUUGGGGUUAAAGGGUGCGCAGGCGGCCUGUUAAGUCAGCGGUAAAAGCCCGGGGCUCAAACCCCGCGAGCCGUUGAAACUGGCGGGCUGGAGUUGGAGAGAAGUACGCGGAAUGCGCGGUGUAGCGGUGACAUGCUUAGAUAUCGCGCAGAACCCCGAUUGCGAAGGCAGCGUACCGGCUCCACACUGACGCUGAGGCACGAAAGCGUGGGUAUCGAACAGGAUUAGAUACCCGUGUAGUC